rnacentral:rRNA from 1 species
UACGUAGGGGGCGAGCGUUGUCCGGAUUUAUUGGGCGUAAAGAGCGUGUAGGCGGCCAGGUAGGUCUGCUGUGAAAACUCGAGGCUCAACCUCGAGACGUCGGCGGAAACCAUCUGGCUAGAGUCCGGAAGAGGAGAGUGGAAUUCCUGGUGUAGCGGUGAAAUGCGCAGAUAUCAGGAAGAACACCCGUGGCGAAGGCGGCUCUCUGGGACGGUACUGACGCUGAGACGCGAAAGCGUGGGGGAGCGAACAGGG